CCUACGGGAGGCAGCAGUGAGGAAUAUUGGACAAUGGAGGCAACUCUGAUCCAGCCAUGCCGCGUGCAGGAAGACUGCCCUAUGGGUUGUAAACUGCUUUUAUACAGGAAGAAACCCCUCUACGUGUAGAGGCUUGACGGUACUGUAAGAAUAAGGAUCGGCUAACUCCGUGCCAGCAGCCGCGGUAAUACGGAGGAUCCAAGCGUUAUCCGGAAUCAUUGGGUUUAAAGGGUCCGUAGGUGGAUAAUUAAGUCAGAGGUGAAAUCCUGCAGCUUAACUGUAGAAUUGCCUUUGAUACUGGUUGUCUUGAGUUAUUAUGAAGUGGUUAGAAUAUGUAGUGUAGCGGUGAAAUGCAUAGAUAUUACAUAGAAUACCAAUUGCGAAGGCAGAUCACUAAUAAUAUACUGACACUGAUGGACGAAAGCGUGGGGAGCGAACAGGAUUAGAUACCCUGGUAGUCCACGCCGUAAACGAUGGUCACUAGCUGUUCGGAUUUCGGUCUGAGUGGCUAAGCGAAAGUGAUAAGUGACCCACCUGGGGAGUACGUUCGCAAGAAUGAAACUCAAAGGAAUUGACGGA
rnacentral:rRNA from 1 species